CCGAUGAGAUGGAAACGGACAGAGCUGGCGUAUCUGGUCUGUAUUCAACCGUGGGUUUUUGGACGUGUUGGUUGCCGUCUCCAGACUGGGGCGGUGCCUACACAGUUCGGAGACCCAUGGGGCAUUUGCAGGCGGAGUGCGCUGAGAUGCUCGGUGCAGCUGCAUAAGCUCGGCUUUGAGGCCAGCCCUUCGGGGUCUGGUACCCGGGCCGGAGGAGUGCUGUUUGUGCUGGGUGUGCCUGUGUGCAAUGGCAACGGGCUCGUGUUUGGCUGAGCUGGCGGUCGGUGGCGGUCGCAUGCGACACGUGCCAGCAAUCAGUUCGGUCCAGCUCGGGCUCUCAUUGUGCAUUCUCGGUGUAAAAGCCGGUUAUCUGUCCGACCCGUCUUGAAACACGGACCAAGGAGUUUAGCGUGUGCGCGAGUCAUUGGGAGUUGAAAACCCAAAGGCGUAAUGAAAGUGAAGGCUUCUCUCGGAGCUGAUGUGUGAUCCUGUGCACCUCGGUGUGCGGGCGCAACAUAGUCCCGUCCCAAUUGCAUGCGAUGGGGCGGAGACAGAGCGUACGCGCUGAGACCCGAAAGAUGGUGAACUAUUCCUGAGCAGGAU
rnacentral:rRNA from 1 species